GCGAUUCGGCAUGGUCUGAUAUAUUUGUUUUCUUGUUAUUGGUUUUCGUGUACUAUGUGUUUAUUUUCUUGAAGUAUCAUUUUGUUGUUGUAAGUUUUUGAUUCAAUUUUUUUGCGAUAGUUUACUUGUACUGUGAGGGGUUGUUGAUUUAUUUUUAAUAGUUGAUUUUGUUUGUCGUACCUUGUGUAUCAGGGUUUAUUGAAUUUUAUUAUUUAUUUUUAUUUCCCGAUUUUAAGGGAGUUAAUGGUUUAUGCUAGUUAUUGUUUUAUCAAUAUUAGUAAUAGGUUGUUGGUAGUGAGAUGCUAUUCGUCUUUAGAGGUUUCUGGUUUUCUGAGAAAUGAAUUUAAUUCAUGCGCUUUGUUUAGAUUUUACUGUUAGUUUAUUUUUUUUUAUUUGGCGUUAAGAUUAAGGGGGAUUAGCUCUUUGUUUUAUUUUUAUAAUCUUUUAAGUUUUUAGUUUUGUGGGUUUUAUGGUGAUUUUCAAUUUGAUUAUGUUAAAAUUUUAUUUGCUCUUUUCUUUAUUUUAUUUUUGGUUUAUUGGAAUGGUUUAUUAUCUUUUUAUGUGCAGUAAUUAUUGUGGAAUUAGUAAAUUUUCUGUUUUGUACUGUUUAUGUUUUUGGUGUUAAUUCCUUUUAAGGAAUUAGGCAAAUUUUGUGUCCGCCUGUUUAACAAAAACAUCUUUUCUUGUUAGUUUCUGAAGUAUGGCCUGCCCACUGACAUGAUUAGUUGAAGGGCCGCGGUAUUUUGACCGUGCAAAGGUAGCAUAAUCAUUAGUUCUUUAAUUGUGAUCUGGUAUGAAUGGCUUGACGAGAUGCGUGCUGUCUUAGGUGUAGGAUUGUAGUGUUAUUGAACUUGGUUUCUGAGUUAAAAUUCUUAGAUGUUUUUAUGGGACGAGAAGACCCUAUAGAGUUUAACAUUAGGUGUGUGGCUUGAUUGUGUUUGUUUAGGUUGUUUGUAUAUCUAUUUGUUUCGUUGGGGUGAUGGGAGGAAUGUUUUUAACUCCUCUUUAUGUUUGGUAUGCUUAUUUGUAUUUGUUUUGAUCCAUUUAUUUUGAUUAUAAGAUUAAAUUACCUUAGGGAUAACAGCGUUAUCUUCCUUGAGAGUUCUUAUUGGCGGGAGGGUUUGCGACCUCGAUGUUGGAUUAAGGUUAAUUUUUGGUGUAGGAGCUGAAUUGAUUAGGUCUGUUCGACCUUUAAAAUCUUACAUGAUCUGAGUUCAAACCGGCGUGAGCCAGGUUGGUUUCUAUCUAUAAUAAAUUUUAUGCCUUAGUACGAGAGGACCGGGUAUUUGGAAUAAUUUUGUUUAUUAUUGUGUUUUAUUAAUAGUUGCUAUUUUGGCAGAUAAGUGCAUUGGAUUUAGAAUCUAUUAAUGUAAAGUUUU
rnacentral:rRNA from 1 species